GUGAGGAAUAUUGGUCAAUGGGCGAGAGCCUGAACCAGCCAAGUCGCGUGAAGGAAGAAGGAUCUAUGGUUCGUAAACUUCUUUUGCAGGGGAAUAAAGUGCAGGACGUGUCCUGUUUUGUGUGUACCCUGAGAAUAAGGAUCGGCUAACUCCGUGCCUGCAGCCGCGGUAAUACGGAGGAUCCGAGCGUUAUCCGGAUUUAUUGGGUUUAAAGGGUGCGUAGGUGGAUUGAUAAGUCAGCGGUGAAAGUUUGCAGCUUAACUGUAAAAAUGCCGUUGAAACUGUCGGACUUGAGUGUAAAUGAGGUAGGCGGAAUGCGUGGUGUAGCGGUGAAAUGCAUAGAUAUCACGCAGAACUCCGAUUGCGAAGGCAGCUUACUAAGCUACAACUGACACUGAAGCACGAAAGCGUGGGGAUCAAACAGGAUUAGAAACCCCAGUAGUCC
rnacentral:rRNA from 1 species